rnacentral:lncRNA from 1 species
AGGACCAUGUGGAUACUGAUCAUCUAUUCUCAAAUAUUUUUCUACUGAGGACGAUCAGUUUUAUUGAUAAGUCUGUGAUGUCAUAAGGAAUAUAGAUAUUUCCUUUCUUUGGGGAUGAAGAACAGAUCUGGAGAUGCUGAGCACUUUUGUAUAGGUGCACAAUGUCAGCAUCAGGGCCAAGUUUAGAUUUUCUGUCUGCUUUAACCCCCUGCAAGUUAUAGGGCUGCAGCUAGACUACAAGCAUAUGUAAAAUACCAACAUCACCUCGUUCUCAUACUCUUUCUUCUGUGUAUAGUUCAGCACAGUGAACAGUCAUUGUUAGAACCUAAAGCAGUUUCUAAUUUUGUUUCAUUAUGAGUGUGAAUGCAGCCCUCAGGACCCAUCCCUAUGGCCUUGACUAAGCUUGGUCUUUCAAGCUAUGAAGAGACAAGAUAAAGAUCUGAAUGGUGACUCCAGCUGGCGGAGCCUGGGCUGACUCAGCCCCCGUAAACCUGCCGUCAAAAAUCAAUAGAGCUUUCUCAAGAGUCACCAUUAUCCAUCCAACAAGGAAAAAAUUUCAAAAAUAAAUUGCCCCAUGGCAUAAAAUCAGAUUAAGUAGAUAACGCGUUUUGCUGACUCUGGGGCUGUGUUGGGGAUGGUGCAGGAGGGAGAGAAUUAGCGAUUUAAUGAGCUCAGUUCUCUUCCUGCCUGUACUCUUCCAGUGUUUACUGUCUGACUGAACAUGAGCAGGAGAGCGAAGGUGAGAAAACAAAUUCGAAUUUCGCCCCACAGCUUGACCCACAGUCCUGCAGUGCAGGCUCUGCAUUGCUUAACCAUUGUUGGUUAGUGGGCUCGCAGAGGUUAACUGCCCUGGCCUUGAAGUCAGGGGUCUUCAUCAGGCUUCACCAUGCUGUGCGACAUUGGACAAGUUACCUCGUGUGUCUCUGAGCCUCAGUUUCCUAACCUUGAAUCAGGCUUCCCACUGACCGAGGCUGGGAGGGGAGUUGGUCCACCAGGGAAAUUGUUGCCAUGUGAGGAGAAAUGAGCAUGGAUGUAGGGCAGUAACCCCCACGCACCGAUUACAAACCUGACUCUUUCUGUCUCAACUCUGGCAUUUUUAAACCUUUAAAGAAGCCUUUACUGAGGCCUUUUCUGGUUAAAGUUUAAAUGUAAAGAUGUCCAGAGCCACGUGGCCUGAGUCCAGAGAAACUGCACAGGACCACACUGGAACUGACCCUCAGGAAGUACUCACCUGCUUUCCUGCUGCUUUGGGCUCUGCCCCCUACCUGGGGUCAGAGCCAGGUGCUUCUUCUUACUUGUCUCUGGUGACUUCUUUGGACUUCAUCUCUUUCCUGCUUUUACUACUGCUACUCCCCAGACCCACCUGACUGCCCUUCUUAGUCCUGGCCCCCCUCCUCUAGUUAGCUUAGUCCUUUAAAUAGCAAUUGUUGGCCAACAUAUGGCUGCCCCCCAUGUCAACAUGGGAUGUCUCAGAUGGGCUGGGGGUCUGUUCUAGGAUAUGCUCCCCCUUGUUACCAGCUGGAGCUCUUGCAGGCAGGUAUGGUUGCUUUGCACAGAGGUCUUGGCUCAAGGGGGCGUCAGGACCGAGGCGCUCUGCAUUCCUGCUGGACACAACCCCACCGAAUAUGACUAUGCAGUGGCUCUACCUUCAGCAGCUGAGAAGGAGGUAGCCGCUUUUUUAUAAUGUCUGUGAGUCACCGUGAGACAUUUCCAAGUACAGUUGGGCCUGAGGCCAAGUCUCACCCAAUUCUGACGUUUUGUCCCUUCCUCUAUUAGAGUGGUUUUGUAAAGUGUCCACUUGGCCAGCCUGAGUUAUACUUCCCAGCAUCCCCUUUCUGGUGUAUUUCUCAGAACCACAAGAGAGAUUUCUGUGAGAGAUUUGAGAGGUGGAAGGGAGGCACUGGCCAGCCUGGUUUUCACCAGGUAGGUCAGGUAAGGCAUUUGCGUGUGUGUUGGCUCCCAUGAUAUGAAGGGUACCAGCUAGUCCUUGAGGACACCCACAUCCGAGGCCAGAGGCACUGAGACCUGACAUGGGUUCGAGUGUGCGUCCUCCUGGGUCCUGGUUUGGGCUCACAGAUUCUGGUUUGUCCUUGCUCUCUCUGACUUCUCAUCUAUCUGCCCUUUGGGACUGCCUGCCCUUCAGAUUUCAAACUCCAGCAUCAGAUGCAAAGACAAUAGCAGCCUUACAGAAACUCUGUAAUCAAUCACAAUGAAGUAAGGUCACAUGCCUUGGGAAGACUUCUUUAAUAUACAUACAACUUCCAGGGGACCUGCUUCUUUGAUUGAACCCUGACUGACACAUCUACCAUGGAAGUUUUAUUCCUAAAAGAUGCAUACCUGGGGUCUUAUUUUGGAUUUCCCCAAAGAGGGACCCUGAUAGGAGUACUUGCUGGCAAGUAGUUUAUCUGGGCACUAAUCCCAGGAAACAGAAGGGAAGGAGCAGGGAGAAUGAAAUCAGGAAGCCAAGAAAAGCCAAUAAAGAAUUCAGUAUUCACUGUUCAUAAGCUGCCGCUGUAGGCAGCGGGACUCAAGUCCACUAGGGCGUCUGAGAAGUGUGCACAUUGUCUCCCAGAAGUCUCUGUUUGAGGCAUGGGGGGCAGGAAAGCUAAGGUAUUGAUCUGCUGGCUCCAUUCACCCAUUUGAGGGUUGCCCUGAGGGUGUUCACUGCCCUACACUUUGGGAAUUCACCUGCUUGAGGCUGAGUGGGUUCUUGUGGCAUCAGGGAAAGCAUUGAGGCAGAGAGGUUCAUUGGGCAGGUGCUUGAAGUUGAAUGGCAUCCGUGUACCCAGGCUGUCGAGGCCACAGACAAGGGUGAGCUGAAAGUCUGUGACUUGGGCAGCAGAAGCAUCGGUUAUCCUGGCAAAUUCAUUGUUUGCAAGGUCAAAUCUCAGAGAUACCAGUGAGUCAGGAGAAAAAAAAGUAAAAUGGCAUUAAAGAUCUAUUUAAAAGCCAAAAUAAAUAAAAGUUCUAGUGCUUCUAAUGUUCUAUUAUGAUAGCACACAGAUACACACACUUUUCUCAACUCUCACUCUAUCAUCUCUUUAACUCCUAAAUCACUUUCCUCCAUUGUUCAGGGAAAAAAAAAAAAAUCUGUGUCCCUAUUCUCUGCUGAGGUGGAUGCUUCUCAAACUUUCUAAGCAGUUUUUUUAGCAACCCAAGUGAGGGCUAUAAAUGAAUCAUAUGGCUUUUUAAAAGUAAAAAUCAUGCUUCACACUUAAAAAAAUUAAAAAUUAAUAUACACAUGUAAAAAUGUAGUAGCUCAGCAUCUUGGGGGCAACUGACUAGCAAGGGGUUAUUGAUUAUCUGUUCACAGGGAAGGGUCAGAGGCCUGACGGUUCAGGCCAUGCCUUUUGUUUAAUGCUGCAUUUGGUUAUCUUGGGUCAACUGCACUGUGACCUUCACUUUUUUUUGUUGUUGUUUUCUGCUCCAAGAUGAGUGACAAAUCAAUCUAUCCUAGUCUCAGCUUGGGACUCCAAUACCUGUCUGUGUGAGGGUUAUGUUAUAUUCUAGGCAGGACAGCAUCCCCAGUGAGAAAGACUCUGAGAGGGACAACCUCUUAGACACACAGAAUUUCCAUGAUCCAAAUGGAUACCAGUGACUAUCGCUUAAUACCCAGAACCUCCCUCCUAGAUAAGAACAUUAGUGAUCAACUCUCUGUAACUUAUAGAAAGCUGAGGGAGUUCCUUUUGUGGCUCAGUGGGUUUAGAACCUAACUAGUUUUCAUGAGGAUGUGGGUUCAACCUCUGGCCUCGCUCAGUGGGUUAAGGAUCCAGAAUUGCUGUGAAGCUGUGGUGUAGGUAGCAGUUCAGGCUCAGAUCAGGUGUUGCUGUGGUGUAGGCUGGCAGCUGCAGCUCCAAUUAGACCCCGAGGCUGGGAACUUCUAUAUGCUGCAGGUGAAGUCG